rnacentral:rRNA from 1 species
UACGGGGGGGGCAAGCGUUGUUCGGAAUUACUGGGCGUAAAGGGUUCGUAGGUGGCCUGCUAAGUCGGACGUGAAAUCCCUCGGCUUAACCGGGGAACUGCAUCUGAUACUGGAUGGCUUGAGUUCGGGAGAGGGAUGCGGAAUUCCAGGUGUAGCGGUGAAAUGCGUAGAUAUCUGGAGGAACACCGGUGGCGAAGGCGGCAUCCUGGACCGGCACUGACGCUGAGGAGCGAAAGCCAGGGGAGCAAACGGG